UACGUAGGGUGCGAGCGUUAAUCGGAAUUAUUGGGCGUAAAGAGCUCGUAGGCGGUUUGUCGCGUCGGCUGUGAAAACCUGGGGCUCAACCCCGGGCCUGCAGCCGAUACGGGCAAACUAGAAUUCGGUAGGGGAGACUGGAAUUCCUGGUGUAGCGGUGAAAUGCGCAGAUAUCAGGAGGAACACCGGUGGCGAAGGCGGGUCUCUGGGCCGAUAUUGACGCUGAGGAGCGAAAGCGUGGGGAGCGAACAGG
rnacentral:rRNA from 1 species